rnacentral:rRNA from 1 species
GAUGAACGCUGGCGGCGUGCUUAACACAUGCAAGUCGAACGAUGAAAGCGGGAGCUUGCUCCUGCUGGAUUAGUGGCGAACGGGUGAGUAACACGUGAGCAAUCUGCCCCGAACUCUGGGAUAAGCGUUGGAAACGACGUCUAAUACCGGAUACGACGCGCGAAGGCAUCUUCUGCGCGUGGAAAGAAUUUCGGUUCGGGAUGAGCUCGCGGCCUAUCAGCUAGUUGGUGAGGUAACGGCUCACCAAGGCGACGACGGGUAGCCGGCCUGAGAGGGUGACCGGCCACACUGGGACUGAGACACGGCCCAGACUCCUACGGGAGGCAGCAGUGGGGAAUAUUGCACAAUGGGCGAAAGCCUGAUGCAGCAACGCCGCGUGAGGGACGACGGCCUUCGGGUUGUAAACCUCUUUUAGUAGGGAAGAAGCGAAAGUGACGGUACCUGCAGAAAAAGCGCCGGCUAACUACGUGCCAGCAGCCGCGGUAAAAC